rnacentral:lncRNA from 1 species
GCAGUCUCUGAGCAAAGACAGAAUUUUUCAUGGUUGGUGUUGGGGUUGCGCUGUGGUGGGGUCUCGGGUUUGGGUUAAGAGGGUAGGGUGUGACUGCAGACCAUCGGGGAACCAUUUCCUAGUCUAGGGGCUGUUGUUGGCUGGUAACUACAGUAGGCCUGAUGAUUGCCGCAACAAAUAUAAGGCCCCAGCAAAGGGCUAAAGAAGACGAGUCCUGAGCAAUUCUGCUUGCAGGCUUGGCUCUGUACUGCCGUAUCAAAGUAACGUAUCAAAGUUUUUAUGUGAGUUUUUACGAGUGAGGACGAGCGUGUACGCCCGGGGUGAGAUGUGGGUUAUUCUUACGUAUUCUCGUGGGUUCUGGACAGUAGCUAUGAACUUUUAAUGACCGUAGGCUCCCCCACUUUGGCGUGGGAUUCUAUGGAGUAUCCGACCCGUUCGGGUCCUCUGCGACAGAGAAACGGGUGCAUUAGUGAAUGCGCAUUCGGAGAUAAUGGCUACUGGAGUGCUGGGCGCCAUUCCAUGCGAUUUUGAUGAUUUGCGUAAUGUGAGAAAGUGGUUUGGGUUGAAUAAUCGGGACGAGCAGACAUUUUUUUGGUGACAUACGACUUAUUGAUGGGAUAGUCGCCCAUGGUGGUAUUAAACGAACAUAAUAACGUGGUCCUUAAGUGCUUUCGGGGGGCCCUCGUUACGGACGUUAGGAAUACCAUCCCGGCCUCCAGCUGUAAGGAAACGUGGAAGUAAAACCUUUCCCCGUGCCUCUAUGCUUAACAUCAAAAUAAAUGUUCUUGCGAUUGGCAUGACUUUGCAAGGGAGUCGUAUGUAAGGUCAGCGCGGCAUUCCUGACAUGUAUAAGCCCUAAAGUUCCAGAAACCCAUCUCCUGGUACCGGAAUCCUACAGCUAAAUGUUACAUUGUCCCUAUAGCAGCUCUUCCCAUGCUCGAAAAAGCACAAAGCUGCUAUUGAUCAGCAUCGCCACUACCGACAUCGUUGCCCUUCCAUGCCUAAGGCUAGUAAAUAGAAGUUAGACGCUGCUUCCUUACUAUUAUAUGCGGAACUAUUAUCGC